AGUAAUAUAUCGGAACGUGCCCAGUAGUGGGGGAUAGCCCGGCGAAAGCCGGAUUAAUACCGCAUACGACCUACGGGUGAAAGCGGGGGAUCGCAAGACCUCGCGCCAUUGGAGCGGCCGAUAUCAGAUUAGCUAGUUGGUGGGGUAAAAGCUCACCAAGGCGACGAUCUGUAGCUGGUCUGAGAGGACGACCAGCCACACUGGGACUGAGACACGGCCCAG
rnacentral:rRNA from 1 species